rnacentral:lncRNA from 1 species
CAGAUUUCUCUUUAAGAGUCCAUGGCUGAGAAGCGACCUGAGGCCAGUCUCAAAUGUAGCGACGCCCUAGGUGACUCCAAACCGGCGGCAAUGGAGGAGGCCAAGUCCAAGCAGGCGAUGUCCGUGAAGAAGAAGGUGAGGGUGCCGGAAGAUUACAUCAUUAACCUGCUGAACCGUGCCCCGCGGAAGAUCCCUAGCCUCUCCCUGAAAGCAUCUACAUGAGCUAUCCCGAAAUCCGAGCGCGUGCCCUAGCUAACGAGGCUAAGCUUUAUGCCGAGCUGAACUCGAUCAUCAAGAUGGAGGAGGACAUCCUGGAGCAGUACCGCGCGAAGGGGCACACCACGGUGGAGGUGGAGAUCAACGAGGACGACCUGCGCAUGUUCCGCAAGAUGGGGUUGAAGUUGAAGAAGGGGAUUGCGAGUUGAUUGUUUUUAUCUGGUCCAUCUGUUACCGCGAGCAGUAGUACCGUACGUGUCUUUAAGCAGUAAAUACCAGCAGUAGUACUUUGUAAGUUAAACUUAUGGAUUGGGUUGAUGUUACUAGUGUGAUGAUGCUAUUGGGUCUAAAUUAUGGUGCUG